GAAAAAAACAAUAGAAACCAUUACAGAAUUUGUAAUGGUUUUAAUGGUUCUUAUUGGAAUUCUAAUGGUUUUAAUGGACACUGUAAUGGUCUCUGUGGGUCUCUAUUGGUAAUUUGCUUUCUUCUAUUGGUGGCGUGUAUUGUCUAUUGGAUACCAUUAAGGACCAAUAGAACACCUUUAGAAACUUCUAGUGGUAUCUACUGGACACCAGUAGAAACCAUUAUGACUCCAAUAAAUUUAGUGGUUUCUUUGGAAAACUGUAAUGGUCUUAGUGGGUAGGCUACUGCUGAAAAAAAAUGAACACACGAACAAUAGAAACUAUUACAAAAUUUGUAAUGGUUUUAAUGGUUAUAAUGGGAAUUAUGUUGGUUGUAAUGGUCACAGUAAUGGUCCCUGUGGGUCUCUAUUGGUAAAUUGCUUUCUUCUAUUGGUGGUAUGUAUUGUCUUGGAUUGCCACCAUACGUCAUUUGGAAAGGUUAUUUUUAAUUCAUUUAAUUAUUUUUUUUUUUAUUAUUUUUUAAAAUCAACUCGACUCGUCAUGGCCUUCAAAAUUGACUUGAAAAGUUGGUCUUUGUUUUGUCUGUCGGAUUUGGUCCAAAUUUAGCCCAAAAAUAGAUGUGAAAUAACAGUGAAAUUCUGCGUGACUUCCACGUGCUGUAAUGUGCGCGCACGCAGAACUGGAGCGGAGGACGUCACCAUGGAAACGAGGCGGCAGCCCAACCGUCAAGCAGCUGAUCGCUGACACUCAAUGUGGUUUCACUUUUUUUUUAGAAAUGGUUUAGCGUCGUCAGAAAAAGUCCGUUAGCAUCUCAAAGAAGUGCCAGAAAAAAACCUCUAUGACGCAGGAGAAGUUCCUGAUUUUAACAUUUCUGAAGGGAGCUGCUGACAGAGAGGAUGAAAACACACACAUUUUGAUGUCCACGCUGUAGGAGCAUUACUAAAUAAUGCUUAUGUUCCUAGGUUCUUCCAUGCUGAUGGCUGUGCUCUAGAGUCAUAUCUCCUGUCGAAGAACAUUUUUAGACAUUAUGAACCAUGAAUAAGUUUAGCUCCAACCCCAGUUAAGCGGACCUGAGCAGCUGAUCAAGGAUCACCAGAAACUCUGCAGAACGGUGGUCCUCCAGCCCAGGACUGGACACCAGUGUUAGUGUCUGUCUCAGAAUCUGAAGAAAAAAGGCCACACCUUAUAGGAAAUAAACGCCUCCUAAGUGUAUGGAAAUACCUGGCUGAGGAGAUCAGUGACAUAAUCCAGAUAAAACUGUCAGUGGUCUGAGACAGCUACAAGCCACAAAAACAGUUCAUAGUUCCUGCAUUUCUAUAAUGCAUUAAUGAAUAACAAUAAUUAAAAUAAAAUGUAAUGUCAAGGUUUUGUGUUAAUUCCAGCUAUGUUGAGUAUUCUGUGAAUAAUUUUGAUUUUAGGUGCAUAUUCUUAAUUCUUUGCAAAACAACCUGAACUGUUUGCUAUUGAAAGGUUGGUAUGAAGUUUAAAUAAAUAAAAACAUUAUAUUCUUGACAAAAC